AUUGAACGCUGGCGGCAGGCCUAACACAUGCAAGUCGAGCGGAUGAAGGGAGCUUGCUCCUGGAUUCAGCGGCGGACGGGUGAGUAAUGCCUAGGAAUCUGCCUGUUAGUGGGGGAUAACGUCCGGAAACGGGCGCUAAUACCGCAUACGUCCUGAGGGAGAAAGUGGGGGAUCUUCGGACCUCACGCUAUCAGAUGAGCCUAGGUCGGAUUAGCUAGUUGGUGGGGUAAAGGCCUACCAAGGCGACGAUCCGUAACUGGUCUGAGAGGAUGAUCAGUCACACUGGAACUGAGACACGGUCCAGACUCCUACGGGAGGCAGCAGUGGGGAAUAUUGGACAAUGGGCGAAAGCCUGAUCCAGCCAUGCCGCGUGUGUGAAGAAGGUCUUCGGAUUGUAAAGCACUUUUAGUUGGGAGGAAGGGCAGUAAGUUAAUACCUUGCUGUUUUGACGUUACCAACAGAAUAAGCACCGGCUAACUUCGUG
rnacentral:rRNA from 1 species